rnacentral:lncRNA from 1 species
CUGGUUUAUUUCCUUCUAAGGACCUUAUAAGCUUGUAAACCAAAAGUCUUAUUUUACUACAGAUAUUUUCGGCAUAAUAUAGUUUCCAUUUUUUUAGGAGAAAACCUGCAAAGAUUUAAAGCAUCACCUUGAAGUACAGAUAGAAUGCGCACAUAAGGAACAGAAUGACCUGAAAAACUCACUUGAAAAAGAGGAGCUAAGAUUUUCUUUUUCUGUAACAAAAUAUGUUAUAGCAUAAUAAGACUUCUCAUCAGUUGAAAUUGGAGUGCAAUUCAAUGCAGGGACAACUAAUGCAGGCCCAGAAGAGUUUAAAACAAAAGGAAAAAGAAGAACAACGACUUCAGGGUAACAGAAAUGAGUUAAAGCAACUGACUGAACAGAAGAAAAAGCAAAUUGAAGCACUCCAAGGAGAGAUUAAAAGAUAGAACUUGAGAAUAAACUACAGCAGCAGUCAACA